rnacentral:lncRNA from 1 species
CCUUUGCAAUAUUAGGAGUUUUAUCGAACCACUCGUCUCUUUGACCUUCACAGAUUUCAACAUCAGAAGAUUGAUCCUCUCUCCUUUCAGUAACUUCGUUCUCAGCACUCAUGUGUAUGUGUGAUGAUUCUGACUCUUCUGUUUUACUCUCUUUGAUUUCUGAACUUUUCUUGCUAAUCUCUGCAUUUUUGCUCAUUUUGAUCUCUCCUUUUGUUUCAUCAUCAGAUGAAUUGUUUUCAUCUGAUUCAUAUUCACAUAUUUUAGCAGGCUUUCCAACGCGUGUCUGUGUUUUUCGAGCUCUGCUAAUGCCUGCUUUUCCUUUCUUCACACUCCUGCCAGCAAGUCCCCCUCUUUUCCGUUUCACAUCUCUCUUGGGCGAGGC